rnacentral:rRNA from 1 species
GUGUCAGCCGCCGCGGUAGUACGGAGGGGGCUAGCGUUGUUCGGAAUUACUGGGCGUAAAGCGCACGUAGGCGGACGGUCAAGUUGGGGGUGAAAGCCCGAGGCUCAACCUCGGAAUUGCCUUCAAAACUGAUCGUCUCGAGGCCGGGAGAGGGCAGUGGAAUUCCCAGUGUAGAGGUGAAAUUCGUAGAUAUUGGGAAGAACACCGGUGGCGAAGGCGGCUGCCUGGCCCGGACCUGACGCUGAGGUGCGAAAGCGUGGGGAGCGAACAGGAUUAGAUACCCUGGUAGUCCACGCCGUAAACGAUGGGUGCUAGGUGUCGGAGGACUUAGUUCUUCGGUGCCGCAGCUAACGCGUUAAGCACCCCGCCUGGGGAGUACGGCCGCAAGGCUAAAACUUAAAUGAAUUGGCGGGG